ACAGGUUUUGCUAGUGAGCGCCAUGCAUGCCUAGAUACCAAGAUAUAGAAGCCCCAGCUUUGAACAACGUGACUGCUACAGGAAAUCGGUCAAAACAAGUGUUCAUAUUGUCUGCUUUUAACUUUAUUUUUAAUCUUGAUUGCUGGAUUAUUCAAAGUUUUGUAUUUUCCAAUGGUCUCUUUCUGAAAUAAAUGCACAUUUUAUUUUGACUAAA